AAAAAUAAAGCUUACGCUGACGCAAUGAUUGGGCUUUUAGCAAGAGCAAAGGGCACCAAAGGAACAGUUGACGGAGUUAUGCGUGGCUUGUUCAAAGAUGAUACCGUGGCUAAUUUUAAUUUAGAGGGAAGGGCAGGCAAGUUCCCACUUGUUGGACUUAAAGUGACUGAGCUCCUCUUUGAUAUUUUCCCAGAAAAAUCGAAGGAGGACGUUCGCACUUUAAUGAGAAAAUAUAUAACUUUAAGUCAUAAUAGAAAUAAUCAAAAAAAAUAUAUCAAUAAAAAAACUUUAAGUAAUAGUGUAGAAUAAGUAUACCUAAGAAACUGUAAAUAGUAACAUUAAGUUUUUAGAAGCAUUAAGGGUGUUAAAAAUCUGGUGCAUAUAGUAUUGCAAAUGCAUAUCUGUGGUGUCAGGUAUCAACCAUUUCUUUUAAAUAUGAAAUGGAAUUAUGUUUAUACCUGAUACUACAUAUACAUUUCGUCAUCUUAAUUCACAAAAGCCCUAACCAACUAAUUUUUACUUUAUUAGUAGAAGCAAAAAACAUUAUAAAAAUAGUAUCAAAAACAGGUAGGACUUUU